rnacentral:lncRNA from 1 species
GAGAAUAGUCCUGGACUGAGCUUCAGAAGAUCUCAGAUCACUGACGUUCUGUCUAGAAGAAUACUCCAAGAUAUAUUUCUAAGUAAUAUUCCUUCUCUUGUUGGGGGAAAUUAGAGAAGAUUUCUACCUGGUGCCAUAUCAACUCAAGGAUGGAGUCAAAUACUGAGAGGCUCUGUCAUCUGUCUUUGGAUCUCCUUCUUACCAGCUUAUGAUCUCCUGAUUGGAACUAACAUGACGCUUGAUAAAAUGAAGUACAUAACAUAACAACUGCAUUGAUUUAGAAAUACGAGGACUUGUUUUGGAUUCCAAGUCUAACUGCAGAUCUGGGGACAGCACACACUUUACACCUUGGAUUCUGGGAUACAUUUGAUUUCAAAUAUUGAUGGUGAAAAUUCUAACAAGGAGCAAACAGCAAAGAACUGAAAUGCUAUACAGACUCCAGUGAGAAAAAACUGAGGUAAUUGGUUUCGGUGUGCUGGUGCUUGAAACUCUAUCCCAGUGCUUCCUUCAACUAAGGCUGCAAAUUGAAAAUGUGAAGAACCUUGCCUGCUUGAACCAGCCUGGGCUUGUGGCAGCAUCAUUCUGUCACUUAAUUCUUCUCACAGAGAUCACAUAGCUUUGCUUCCAUACCUAAAUUACUACAAAUUUGUGUCCGCUUGAAUGUUAUGUAAUUUAACCAGAAAUUGAAGAAAUACCACCAUUUUAAAGAAAAUAUGGUCAUAAACACUAUGGAAUACUAUGCAACCAUAACAAGAAUGAAAUCAUGUCCUUUGCAGCAACAUGGAUGUAGCUGGAGGCCAUUAUCCUGGGCAAAUUUGCAGGAGCAGAAAACCAGAUACCACAUCUCACAUGUAAGUGGGAGCUAAGCAUUUGGUAUACAUGGAUAUAAAGAUGGGAAAAAUAGACACUUGGUGACUAUUAGAGAGAGGAAAGAGGGAGAAGGGAGAAGCUAAAAACUACCUGUUGGGUAUUAUGCUCACUACUUGGGUGAUGGGAUCGUUUGUACCCCAAGCCUCAGCAUCACACGGUAUACCCAUGUAACAAACCUGCACACGGAUCCCCUGAAUCUAAAAUAAAAGUUGAAAUUAUUGUUUAAAAAAAAGGAUCUAAUAAACAUAGUAUUACAAUGUUGAUGCAUCCCUUAUUUUUAUUUAUUUAUUUAUUUUUGAGAUGCAACCUCCACCUCCUGGGUUCAAGCGAUUCUCCUGCCUCAGCCUCCUGAGUAGCAGGGAUUACAGGUGCAUGCCACCAUGCCCAGCUAAUUUUUUAUAUCUUUAGUAGAG